UGGUGUUCUUCUGUUGAUCAUCGCUGCUGCUGCUGCUGCUGCAGCUGUGUUUCUCUAUCGGAAAUACACACAGAACAAUCGUGAUCAGGGGAAAAAAUUGCAAGUCUUGUCUCCUGAUCAGAGUACAUCUUUAGUUAUACCUCCGGAGGUCAACGCUUCUUAAUGGGACUUCUAAUGGACAUCAUGUGACGCGUUAAAGAAUAGUGUCACAGCCAGCGAGGGAGACUGGGAGUGUGAAUCCAGUGGAUAUUAUACUGUUACACAUGUAAACCAGCGCUUGUAAGCAUCAUGGGCACAUGGCUUUAGCUAAUCAGCUUAUUGUUUUUUUUUUUUUUACUUUUUUUUUAGCGCUGCUUUUGUUCCUUUAUGCUGUGUAUACACGUGUAUACCGUGUAUGCGCAAUUUUAUGCCCAGUUUUCACUCACAUCAAGGAAGUUUUGUGGAGAUCUCUGACAAAACCUGAAAUCUGCAGCAGAUAGGUGCUAUUUUACAUCAGUGAAGUUUUGUGGGGAGCGCUCACAAAACCUGAAAUCUGUGGCAGAUAGGUGCUAGAGUUCAUGAGUGAAGUUCACAUAUUCUGAAAUAUCACAGAUGUGAUUUAAGAGAACCAUUGUGUCGCAGAUGCAAAAUGAAUUUUUAACAACCUAUAGCAGGAUAAAAACCUGGACCUGUCUGUGAUUCAGUGUCUAGCAGUGUGAAAUGUGUUUUAACUUGAAAUGACAUCAGUGGUGCCUUCUAGCCAAUGAGAGAGCACGAUACAGGACAAGGGAGAGUUCCAGUCUCACACCGGAGUCCAGCUCACGUGUGAUCUUACAUUUCAUCAUAUCACUUCUUACUUAUGGCUUUUCUGCAUGAGAUGAGGAUUUGUGGAGGUUUCUUCCCAGUGAAAUAUUGUAAUGUUACACCAGUCACCAACACAUCAUGUAGUGCAAAGCGCUGUUGUGUUGUGUAAAAGGGACAGUGAUCUGACAGCUUAAAUUGUGUAGUGUAUGGAUGGCACUAUUCCCUUUUUCUACAUGCAACCCUCAAUGGACGCCUUGACAGUGUAAUUGCCAUUAGCUGGCUAGACAUUUUUUUCAUUUACUCACCAGUAUUUUGUUUGUAUACAUUUGUGUGUGUGUGUGUGUAUAUAUACAUAUAUAUAUUUACUAUUUUUUUUAACCAUUUUUAUAUUCUGUGGUAAAUUACAUUAAGGCCAUACUAAUAGUUUUAGUAAAAAUUUUAGGCCAUGUAAAUAGUUUUUAUUACAUUAUAUAUUCGAUAUUUCAUAUCUUGAAAGGUGUUUUUUAUGCACUUGAGUCAGAUAUAUCAACUUUAGCAUUACUUAUACAAACCAUACUUUCCAGAUUUAUCCCUAUCAAUAUUUUGAAGUUUUUAUUGAGGGAGUUUGUCCAUAUAUCUUUCCCCCAGUACAUUGUGGAAAGUAUUUUUUUGUUUUUUUUGCACAUUUAUUUUUUGCAGUUGACUAUUUCUGAUUGAUGAAGAGAAAUCCAAAAUCCCCUCUUAUAAAAACCUUUAAAAUGUCAAUAAAAUGAAACAAUAAUUUUUACGUUUUGAACCUGUUUGAUACAGUGUUCAGUUUUCUGAUUUCAAAAUAUAAGUAAAUUGAAGCUUUUAUACUUGAAUGAUGUGAUAUUUUAAUAUUUAAACAACAGUUUAGGAAAAAAUGGUCUUGAAGUACUGUGAUUGAUCAUCUGAAGAAAUAUUUUAAUAUUUUUACCCUGUUCACCUGUAGUGUCUUGCUUUAAUUCAUUUAAUCCCACCAGUCACAAUAGUGACCAUGAAGAAAGUUUUCAUUUAUUAAGCUCUAAAACAUGUUAGUGACUGGUGUUUUAGAGCAUCUCCUGCACUAUAUUGAUGUUGCACUACUGGUUGCACUUAUAUAACAUUU